rnacentral:tRNA from 1 species
CGCUAAGAAGCUAAAUAUUAGCGUUAGCCUUUUAAGCUAAAAUAUGGUGUUUCACUCACCCUUAGCGG